CAGUAUAAACCAGUAUACACCAGUAUGGACCAGUAUGGACCAGUAUAAAGCGCUACAGACCAGUAGAGACCAGUAUAGAUUGGUAUAGAGCAGUAUAGGGCGCUAUGGAGCAGUAUGGGCCACUAUGGAGCAGUAUGGGCUGCUAUAAACUACUAUGGAAUGGCAUAGACCAGUAUAGAGCAGUAUAGACCAGUAUGGACCAGUAUAAACCAGUAUAGAGCAGUAUGGGCCAGUAUAAACUGCUAUAGACCAGUAGAGACCAGUAUAGAUUGGUAUAGACCAGUAUAGGGCGCUAUGGAGCAGUAUGGGCUGCUAUAAAGUACUAUGGAAUGGCAUAGAGCAGUAUACACCAGUAUAGACCAGUAUGGACCAGUAUACACCAGUAUAGACCAGUAGAGACCAGUAUAGACGAGUAGGGACCAGUAUAGAUAAGUAUAGACCAGUAUAGAUAAGUAUGGACUGCUAUGGGGAGCUAUAAACCACUAUGGAAUGGCAUAGACCAGUAUAAACCAGUAUACACCAGUAUACACCAGUAUGGACCAGUAUAGACCAGUAUGGACCAGUAUAAACUGCUAUAGACCAGUAGAAACCAGUAUAGAUUGGUAUAGACCAGUAUAGAUUGGUAUAGACCAGUAUAGGGCGCUAUGGAGCGGUAUGGGCUGCUAUAAUAGACCAGUAUGGACCAGUAUACACCAGUAUAGACCAGUAUAGACCAGUAUAGAGCAGUAUGGGCCAGUAUAAACCGCUAUAGACCAGUAGAGACCAGUAUAGAUUGGUAUAGACCAGUAUAGAUAAAUAUGGACUGCUAUGGGGAGCUAUAAAGUACUAUGGAAUGGCAUAGACCAGUAUAGACCAGUAUGGACCAGUAUACACCAGUAUAGACCAGUAUAGACCAGUAUAGAGCAGUAUGGGCCAGUAUAAACCGCUAUAGACCAGUAGAAACCAGUAUAGAUUGGUAUAGACCAGUAUAGGGCGCUAUGGAGCAGUAUGGGCUGCUAUAAAGUACUAUGGAAUGGCAUAGAGCAGUAUAGACCAGUAUAAACCAGUAUAGACCAGUAUAAACCAGUAUGGACCAGUAUAGAGCAGUAUGGACCAGUAUAAAGCGCUAUAGACCAGUAGAGACCAGUAUAGAUUGGUAUAGACCAGUAUAGGGCGCUAUGGAGCGGUAUGGGCUGCUAUAAACUACUAUGGAAUGGCAUAGAGCAGUAUAGACCAGUAUAGACCAGUAUGGACCAGUAUACACCAGUAUAGACCAGUAUAGACCAGUAUAAACCGCUAUAGACCAGUAGAGACCAGUAUAGA
ensembl:lncRNA